GCCUUCCUUGGCAAAACUAGAAUAUACUACAGUUGUGGCUCCCAAAUCAAGAGUCAAGUUCUCCUAUGCAUGAACUCAGGCAGAAAGCUAACCAGCAGAAAGAGGCCUAAAUGGCAGAGAGUAUCAAAAGAAAGAAGAUGGAACGAGACAGGUGAGGGUGCAGUGUUGAUCACUGCAGGAUGUUGCAGUGGAACCAGAUGACCCAAACCAAAGAAAAGACCAAGAAGCCCCCAGUGGACAGCAGGCUUCCCUGUUUGCAGAGUCAUCUACCCUCAGUCGGGACGAGCAUAGGAUUGGUAAGCCUGGGGCAGCAGGAUGAGUUCGUAGGCUGAGACCCCGAGGUCCCCGGUGGUCUGGCCUUCCUCAGCUCCUCCCUGGUGGGACACAAGGUAAGUCCACUCGCCCCCCACGUCCCCGGGAGAGCGGUGCAGGGCUCGGUGAAGCACCGUGCGCCGGG